CCCAAAGCCCACCGGACUGGCCUGGUCAGCCCCCUCGGGAUGGCUGAACCUGUCCUCUCUGGGCCUCUGGCCCUGGUACCCACAGUCACCUGCCAUUUCUGCCUGCCCAGCACCCCUCUUCGUGAAGCCUCAGCUCUGCCCACACUCAUCUGAGCCCUGGACAGAGCCGCCUCCCACCCCUGGGCCUGCGGGACGGACACGCGGGCCAAAGCUGCCUGUGGGGGCCAGGGCUGACCCAAGAUGGUGAGCCGGAGUCCUGGCAACUUCCUUAGAACUUUGGGGAAGGGAACUCGGAAUGGGAGGGAGAUUCCUGAGGGCAGCUUCCAGCCUCUCGCCAUUCUGAGGAAGACGGAGCCAACACAGGGCUAGGCUGUGAGAAGAGAGGCAGCUUACGUCCUGGAGCCCUGGGGCCGCCUUGCCUGAGACAAGCCCCUGACUGUUCAGCUUUUCCAUUUUGUGAAACGGUCACUUCUCCUUUUUGCUGAAGUUGGUCUGAAGUGGGUUUUGGUCAGUGGCGACAGAGUCCAGACUGGCACACAAACACAGGCAGAAGCACGCGGGCGCGAGCCAUGCUGUGGGAGGGACAGGGCAGCUGGGUCCGGGGCGGCCCCUGGUGCCCCUUCGCCUGGCCCCACUGGAGAGUCUCCUUGUAUCGUGGUGCUGUGACCUAGGGAGCUCUGCCCUCGCUGCCCCAGCCCGGGUGCCAGCCUGACGGCUUUGUUGCCUGUUAGGCUCCCCAAGAACUCCCUUUGGCCUCUCAUCGCCUGCUCAACACCGAGCGAAUGCCCUUUGUCCAUUAUUGUCCCCCCAAAACCAGCUGCACGUCAGCUGGGGUUGCUGGGAGCUCCUCAGGAGCAGGGCUGGGUCUCCAAGUCUGUGCUCCGCUUUGGACGAGUCUUCCCGUAGCAGUUAGCAGGUGCUGUGUGGUGUGGAAAUGACUGAAACAGAGACAGAAGUACCAGGGAGCAGAUGCCGGGUGCGUCCUCCGGCUCUCGCCACCAGUUCAGCCCCUUCGAGGACCCCUGCUCUGGUCUUUCCUCCAGCCCUAGACAGGCUCCCUGAAGGGUGGGACUCGUGCGCCACGGGUGGGCUGUGUCCCCAUGCUGCGAUCCCAUCGGUCAAGGUGCUUACGAUUGUUGUGAAGCUCGUUCAUGGGCCUCUGUGUCUCCAUGCGUCUCUGCACAUGUUCAGGCUAUCUUCUCUGACAAGCUCUCAUUUCCUCUGAGGCCGAGACAGACUCUGUUCUGAGCUGGCAGCAGGAAGCUGAGGCCUAAUUAUCAGCAGCUUCUGAGGAAGUCCCUGGGCAGAUGUCCAGGCAACAGCUGGGGGCUCAGCCCUGAAACCCUCUCCAGAUCGCUUGAUCUGCACCUCCCUCUCUCUGAGCUUCCCCAGUCUCUCAGGGUUGGGCCUUGCUCAGGCUGACAGAGGUCGAGCCUAAGGCCUUCCAUGCAGAGGCCACCCACUCACCCUCCUUAGCAGCCAGCCCUGGAAGUGCCAACAUUGAAGGGAAGUGAAAAAGCCCCUCCCUAAACCCCUGCAGAAACCCUAAGACCAUGGCAUCCAGUCCCAUCACUUCAUAGCAAAUAGAUGGGGAAUCAGUGGAAACAGUGACAGAUUUUAUUUUCUUUGGCUUCAAAAUCACUGCAUGUGGUGACUGCAACCAUGACAUGAAAAGACGCUUGCUCCUUGGAAGAAAAGCUGUGACCAACCUAGACAG
rnacentral:lncRNA from 1 species